rnacentral:rRNA from 1 species
AAUCUACUCUGUCGUGGGGGAUAACGUAGGGAAACUUACGCUAAUACCGCAUACGACUACGGGUGAAAGCAGGGGAUCUUCGGACCUUGCGCGAUUGAAUGAACCGAUGUCGGAUUAGCUAGUUGGCGGGGUAAAGGCCCACCAAGGCGACGAUCCGUAGCUGGUCUGAGAGGAUGAUCAGCCACACUGGGACUGAGACACGGUCCAGACUCCUACGGGAGGCAGCAGUGGGGAAUAUUGGACAAUGGGCGCAAGCCUGAUCCAGCCAUACCGCGUGGGUGAAGAAGGCCUUCGGGUUGUAAAGCCCUUUUGUUGGGAAAGAAAUCCAGCCGGCUAAUACCUGGUUGGGAUGACGGUACCCAAAGAAUAAGCACCGGCUAACUUCGUGCCAGCAGCCGCGGUAAUACGAAGGGUGCAAGCGUUACUCGGAAUUACUGGGCGUAAAGCGUGCGUAGGUGGUUAUUUAAGUCCGUUGUGAAAGCCCUGGGCUCAACCUGGGAACUGCAGUGGAUACUGGAUGACUAGAAUGUGGUAGAGGGUAGCGGAAUUCCUGGUGUAGCAGUGAAAUGCGUAGAGAUCAGGAGGAACAUCCAUGGCGAAGGCAGCUACCUGGACCAACAUUGACACUGAGGCACGAAAGCGUGGGGAGCAAACAGGAUUAGAUACCCUGGUAGUCCACGCCCUAAACGAUGCGAACUGGAUGUUGGGUGCAAUUUGGCACGCAGUAUCGAAGCUAACGC